rnacentral:rRNA from 1 species
CCUACGGGAGGCAGCAGUGGGGAAUAUUGGACAAUGGACCAAAAGUCUGAUCCAGCAAUUCUGUGUGCACGAUGAAGGUUUUCGGAUCGUAAAGUGCUUUCAGGUGGGAAGAAAAAAAUGACGGUACCACCAGAAGAAGCGACGGCUAAAUACGUGCCAGCAGCCGCGGUAAUACGUAUGUCGCAAGCGUUAUCCGGAAUUAUUGGGCGUAAAGCGCGUCUAGGCGGCCUUUUAAGUCUGAUGUGAAAAUGCGGGGCUCAACUCCGUAUUGCGUUGGAAACUGGAAGGCUAGAGUAUCAGAGAGGUGGGCGGAACUACAAGUGUAGAGGUGAAAUUCGUAGAUAUUUGUAGGAAUGCCGAUUGGGAAGCCAGCUCACUGGAUGAAUACUGACGCUGAAGCGCGAAAGCGUGGGGAGCAAACGGGAUUAGAUACCCCGGUAGUCCACGCCGUAAACGAUGAUCACUAAGUGUGGGGGGUCGAACCUCCGUGCUCAAGCUAACGCGAUAAGUGAUCCGCCUGGGGAGUACGCACGCAAGUGUGAAACUCAAAGGAAUUGACGGA